GAUGAAGAACGCAGCGAAAUGCGAUAAGUAGUGUGAAUUGCAGAAUUCCGUGAAUCAUCGAAUCUUUGAACGCACAUUGCGCCUUCUGGUAUUCCGGAAGGCAUGCCUGUUCGAGAGUCAUUAACAACCGUUUCGAUCCCUUUCUUUCAGAAAUUACAAAGAGGAAAAGGGUUUGGUUAUGGUGGAGGAGGGAAAGGGAGCGUUUAGCCUGUAAAAAAAGAGGCUGUGUUCCGCCUCCCCCCCAAGAUUGUACAGGCGGUCGUGUGCGCCCACGCAUCGAGGUGUUGUAAAAGCUGCCACGGCACUUUUCACCUGUGCAGUGCGAGAUUGGCCAGCCGGUUUAAAAACCCCUCCAAACAAUCAAAGGUUGACCUCGGAUCAGGUAGGGAUACCCGCUGAACUUAAGCAUAUCAAUAAGCGGAGGA
rnacentral:misc_RNA from 1 species